UUACCAAGGGGGUUAGCUCGAUUGGUAAACCUACAAGUAAUUGCAGGUGGGAGAUACGGGUUUAAAUGCCCAAAUCCUUCAAAUAUGAAAAGCUCUAUGCUUGGUUUAGAUGACAUGAUAAUGUUGAAUUAUGUGCUUUUAUUUUUCUAGAGUGCUUAUUAUGUUAAUAUGUUCACUUAUGUUUCUUUUGAAUGCUAUUUGAGUGUAGUUUAUAAAAUUUAUGAUUUUGCAUUCAGAUUUUAUUGACCCCUCCAUGAUCCUAGUUGAAAAAGCAAUUAUUGAUAGCUGUUAAUUUUGCGUUUUACAAUAUUAUGUUAUUAUUGCAACUAAUGAAUGUUUUUUUACAAUAUUAUUUUAAUAAAUGGAAUUCCAUUUAUGUCUGGCUCCAUCAAAAUUACUGUUGUUGGAAUUGCAGGUUCUUCCAAAAUGAAUAAAGUAUUCACCCUCAGAUGCAGAUGAUAUCCUCUGCGACCCAGAGCGGCAGAUUGAUGCACAUUAUGAUGACAAAAAUUCACCAUGUUGGUAAAGCCAACCACUUCAGGGCAAGACGACAAAUGGCUGAAAGUUUAGGACAGAUUGCCAAGUUUAAGCGUCGCUAUGGACAAGAAGAUGUUGAAGAAACUGCAAAAUGACUCAAUUGUAAAAGCAAAAGACGAGCUUCACAUUGGUGCUCAAGUUUUCCCAUGCAUUUUAGUUUAGAAGGUCACAACAAACCCAGUGAGUUCUCUGAAUUGCAGUAAAUUUUAUUGUCUAUGGAUAUUUGAAGUUAUAGAACAAUUCAAUUUUCACCAGUUUAGUUAAUAUUGAUUUCACUUCCCUAUUAAAAUUAUUACAACUUGCUUGAGUUUGCAAAAUUCAAAACAUUAGGGCAACUCUGUGUUUUAUGAAUUUGUAUCCUAGUAGUCGUGAUUAUGCAGCAGUUCUAGAUUUCUCAUGUGGAGAAUUUUUUUUUUUUCUUUUCAAUAUUACUUAAAAAAAAGUAUGUUGUUUAUGAUUAGUUUUAGUUUUGAGUCUUUAUCAUUGGAUAUUUUGUUUUAGGUUGCAAAGUUUGCUUCUUAUUUUUGGUAUAAUUUUAGGAUUGUCUUUGUAAUGAACUUAUGUCCAUUUGUG
rnacentral:misc_RNA from 1 species